ACGUCCCCCAAGACCCUAUAAAAGGGGUCCUUGGGGGACCUCUACCCUCAACUCAUCUUCUUGACUCACACUCCAACCAGAGCAAUCCAAGGAGCCCGAAUCGCCUACUCCCAAGGGAGUCGCCGAUUCCCCUCCUCUUCUGCAGGUAUAUUGACGUAGAGCGCGCGUCGUGGACUCCAAAGCCUCCGGCCCUCCUCGCAACCCCGCGAGCCUACUGGUAGCAGAUUCCGUGCUUCAUCAAG
rnacentral:lncRNA from 1 species